ensembl:lncRNA
UGUAGCUACUAUUUGACUGGAGUUGGGUCUUGAUAGGAGAGACUGAGUAAGGAGUAGUAGGGCCUCUCAACCCUCCUGCUCUAAGUCCUCUGUGAACUUCCUGACCUUGAACAAGACCUCCAUGUUGACUGUGGGUUGCGUGGUGGAUAGUGAGCACAGCAUGUCAGACUGGAGGGCAGAGGGACACACACAGAAGACAAACAAAAUCAUGAGCAUGGUUCAGAAAUGACACAAAUGUGAGAGUCAGUUUGCAAUGCCUGGAUGUGUAUGUUGAAACAGCAUGUUCCAGUAUGUUUGUGAGCAGUGAAUGUGAGUAUGUCUGUGCUGUGAAUGUGUGUUUCUCACCAUGCAGAUGAUGGGCUCCAGCAGCUUGUCGCUAGGCACAUCCAUCCAGGUCAAUUCUAUGGCACCCGGUCACCUGGCGAGCACGGGGUCAGAAGGUAGAUGAACCUCCUUCUUAUUAGCUCUUCCACUCCCAAAGACCCAGCUGAGCCAGCCUCCACUGUUAUUGUGAACAA